UUUUCCUACGGGAGGCAGCAGUGGGGAAUAUUGCACAAUGGGCGAAAGUCUGAUGGAGCAACGCCGCGUGAGUGAAGAAGGGUUUCGGCUCGUAAAGCUCUGUUGGUAGUGAAGAAAGAUAGAGGUAGUAACUGGCCUUUUUUUGACGGUAAUUACUUAGAAAGUCACGGCUAACUACUUGCCAGCAGCCGCGGUAAUACGUAGGUGGCAAGCGUUUUCCGGAUUUUUUGGGCGUAAAGCGAGUGCAGGCGGUUCUAUAAGUGUUAUGUUAAAACCUUAGG
rnacentral:rRNA from 1 species